rnacentral:lncRNA from 1 species
UUCUUCUGGAAGAGAACUGGGGCUCCAAAAGGAGCUUUUGAGCUACGGAUAAGCCCUCCUUUCAAUAGCUCAUCAAGUUGAUUUCGAAGUUCUGCAAGUUCCGAUGGGGCCAUUCGAUAGGACGGACGAGCUGGACAUUUUGCUCCAGGCUCUAAUUCAAUCUUAUGGUCCACCGCCCGCCUGGGCGGUAAAGUCUUAGGCAACUCGGGGGGCAUCACAUCCUCAAACUCCUGUAGGACUCUCAAGACCCCAGGAGGAAAGGGACCCAUGUCCUUUGGCUCCAUUUCCAGCUUCAAGGCAGCCACAUAUGUUAGUUCUCCCUUCUUUAUUCC